rnacentral:tRNA from 1 species
GCCCAGGUGGUGGAAUAGGCAGACACGCCGUCUUGAGGGGGCGGUGCCGAAAGGCGUACGCGUUCAAAUCGCGUCCUGGGCACCA